rnacentral:rRNA from 1 species
UCGAGCGGCAGCGCGGGGCAACCUGGCGGCGAGCGGCGAACGGGUGAGUAAUGCAUCGGAACAUGUCCAUGUCGUGGGGGAUAGCCCGGCGAAAGCCGGAUUAAUACCGCAUAAGCCCGAGAGGGGAAAGCCGGGGACCGCAAGGCCUGGCGCGAUUGGGUUGGCCGAUGUCCGAUUAGCUAGUUGGCGGGGUAAGAGCCCACCAAGGCGAUGAUCGGUAGCUGGUCUGAGAGGAUGAUCAGCUACACUGGGACUGAGACACGGCCCAGACUCCUACGGGAGGCAGCAGUGGGGAAUUUUGGACAAUGGGGGCAACCCUGAUCCAGCCAUUCCGCGUGAGUGAAGAAGGCCUUCGGGUUGUAAAGCUCUUUUGUCCGGAACGAAACGGUGAGCGUGAAUAUCGCUCGCUACUGACGGUACCGGAAGAAUAAGCACCGGCUAACUACGUGCCAGCAGCCGCGGUAAUACGUAGGGUGCGAGCGUUAAUCGGAAUUACUGGGCGUAAAGCGUGCGCAGGCGGUUUUGUAAGCCAGAUGUGAAAUCCCCGGGCUUAACCUGGGAAUGGCAUUUGGGACUGCAAGGCUGGAGUUUGGCAGAGGAGACUGGAAUUCCCGGUGUAGCA